rnacentral:rRNA from 1 species
CCUACGGGUGGCAGCAGUGAGGAAUAUUGGUCAAUGGGCGCGAGCCUGAACCAGCCAAGCAGCGUGCAGGAUGACUGCCCUAUGGGUUGUAAACUUCUUUUAUAAAGGAAUAAAGUGCGGCACGUGUGCCUUUUUGAAUGUAUCUUAUGAAUAAGGAUCGGCUAACUCCGUGCCAGCAGCCGCGGUAAUACGGAGGAUCCGAGCGUUAUCCGGAUUUAUUGGGUUUAAAGGGUGCGUAGGCGGGUUGUUAAGUUAGUUGUGAAAGUUUGCGGCUCAACCCCAAAAUUGCCAUUAAUACUGGCAGUCUUGAGUACAGUUGAGGUAGGCGGAAUGCGUGGUGUAGCGGUGAAAUGCUUAGAGAUCACGAAGAACUCCGAUUGCGAAGGCAGCUUACUAAACUGCCACUGACAUUGAUGCUCGAAAGUGUGGGUAUCAAACAGGAUUAGAUACCCUUGUAGUC